AGCGAACGCUGGCGGCAGGCUUAACACAUGCAAGUCGAGCGGGCAUCCUUGUGGUGUCAGCGGCAGACGGGUGAGUAACGCGUGGGAACGUGCCCUUCGGUUCGGAAUAACUCAGGGAAACUUGAGCUAAUACCGGAUACGUGCGAGAGCAGAAAGGUUUAUCUGCCGAAGGAUCGGCCCGCUUCUGAUUAGCUAGUUGGUGAGGUUACGGCUCACCAAGGCGACGAUCAGUAGCUGGUCUGAGAGGAUGAUCAGCCACACUGGGAGUGAGACACGGCCCAGACUACUACGGGAGGCAGCAGUGGGGAAUAUUGGAAAAUGGGGGCAACCAUGAUCCAGCCAUGCCGCGUGAGUGAUGACGGCCUUAGGGUUGUAAAGCUCUUUUCUCCGGGACGAUAAUGACGGUACCGGAGGAAUAAGCCCCGGCUAACUUCGUG
rnacentral:rRNA from 1 species